AGGGAGAUGAAGAUGAUUUGGUGGAGGUACAUGGUGCAGAGACAUGUGAAGAGGAAGCCACGUUUGCUUCUUGGCCUUAGACUUGAACCAAGGACAUGGAGAGAGACACUUGGCGCAGACUUGGGGACAGGAAUGAAAUGACCCUGCGUGAGGAAGAGGGAGGGAUAUUCCUGCCAGCUGGAGGAGAUUGUUCAAAAUGGUCUGAUUUGAACUAGAAACUCCAGAUUGCAAAAUUCAAGCUCGGAUGUAACAAUGUUGGGCUGACUUCCUGUCUCAAAGGUGUAUAGGUGGGGGCCUCCCAGGUGGCGCAACGGUUGAGCGCUGGGUUGCGAAGCUGCCCGCAGCCUUUGCAGCGCUGGUUCGAUCCCCAGCUGCUCCCGGGCCACUGGAGGAGGGUCCCACAUGGCGCGCAGACCCCUCCUGCCGUCCAGACCCCUCCUGCCGUCCGCUGCUGCCCUCAGCAGUGUACUUCGGUACUUCUGCCUGCUCUGCUCCCCGCUCUGGCUCUGGUGAAUUCUCUCACCCUCCCGCACUUCUGA